GUUAGAGACUUGCUUAGUAUAUUUUGUAGGAUUACAGGCAUUAUAGAGACAUUUCGGCAGGAGUGUGUGACAUAUAAGAUAGAGUUUUGCUGACAACGACACCUGUGCUACACUAUCCUAUACGUUAACAGGUUGAUGCUAUUAAUGCCAGACGAUAUGCAAAUGUGGUUAUUAAUAAAGGUCAUGCUAUUUUAAGAUAGGCAAACAAG